rnacentral:rRNA from 1 species
CCUACGGGAGGCAGCAGUGAGGAAUAUUGGUCAAUGGGCGCGAGCCUGAACCAGCCAAGUAGCGUGAAUGAUGACUGCCCUACGGGUUGUAAACUUCUUUUAUAAGGGAGUAAAGUGAGGCAAGUGUGCCUUUUUGUCUGUACUUUAUGAAUAAGGAUAGGCUAACUACGUGCCAGCAGACGCGGUAAUACGGAGGAUGCGAGCGUUAUCCGGAUUUAUUGGGUUUAAAGGGAGCGUAGAUGGGUUGUUAAGUCAGUUGUGAAGGUUUGCGGCUCAACCGUAGAAGUGAAAUUGAUACUGGCAGUCUUGAGUACAGUUGAGGUAGGCGGAAUUCGUGGUGUAGCGGUGAAAUGCUUAGAGAUCACGAAGAACCCCGAUUGCGAAGGCAGCUUACUAAUCUGUGACUGACAUUGAUGCGCGAAAGUGUGGGUAUCAAACAGGAUUAGAUACCCUUGUAGUC